GAUGAACGCUGGCGGCGUGCCUAAUACAUGCCAGUCGAGCGAACAGACGAGGAGCUUGCUCCUCUGACGUUAGCGGCGGACGGGUGAGUAACACGUGGAUAACCUACCUAUAAGACUGGGAUAACUUCGGGAAACCGGAGCUAAUACCGGAUAAUAUAUUGAACCGCAUGGUUCAAUAGUGAAAGACGGUUUUGCUGUCACUUAUAGAUGGAUCCGCGCCGCAUUAGCUAGUUGGUAAGUUAACGGCUUACCAAGGCAACGAUGCGUAGCCGACCUGAGAGGGUGAUCGGCCACACUGGAACUGAGACACGGUCCAGACUCCUACGGGAGGCAGCAGUAGGGAAUCUUACGCAAUGGGCGAAAGCCUGACGGAGCAACGCCGCGUGAGUGAUGAAGGUCUUCGGAUCGUAAAACUCUGUUAUUAGGGAAGAACAAAUGUGUAAGUAACUAUGCACGUCUUGACGGUACCUAAUCAGAAAGCCACGGCUAACUACGUG
rnacentral:rRNA from 1 species